ensembl:lncRNA
CAAAGCCAGGAAUGGGAAUGGGGGCUGGAGGUGCUCAGGCUGCUGAGCCAGCCUAGAAAGUGGCUAUUACCCAAACAGGAAUUGCUUGAGGGCUGGUGGCAGGAUUUGUUCAAAAGGAGCAAAAUAGAGGAAAGUGCUCCACGGCUGAUGAGUGCCUGUACUCCAUGAGAUCACAGCACUGUGAUUAGAGCUCUGGUAUCACAUGUAUGUGCAUGUGGGCUUGGUGUGAUGCUCAGAUGCUGGAGCACCUCUCCUGUGAGGAAAGGUUGAGGGAACUGGGCUUGUUUGGCUUGGAGAAGAGAAGGCUCCGGGGAGACCUCAUUGCGGCCUUCCAGUACUUGAAGGGAGUGUAUAAACAGGAGGGGGAAUGGCUGUUUACAAGGGUGGGUAGUGGUAGGACAAGGGGGAAUGGUUUUAAACUGAGACAGGGGAGGUUUAGGUUAGAUAUUAGGAGGAAGUUUUUCACCCAGAGGGUGGUGACGCACUGAACAGGUUGCCCAAGGAGGCUGUGGAUGCCCCAUCCCUGGAGGCAUUCAAGGCCAGGCUGGAUGUGGCUCUGGGCAGCCUGGUCUGCUGGUUGGCGACCGUGCACAUAGCAGGGGGUUGGAACUGGAUGAGCAUUGCGGGCCUUUUCAACCCAGGCCGUUCUAGGAUUCUGUCAUUCUAUGAUUCAAAGCUUGCUAGCACGUGACCCAGCAGAAAGAUGAAUUCCCU